AAAAACUAAAGGGGUAUCAUAUUAAUAGGUAUAAUAUAAAAAAGAAGAUGAGGUAUGAUUGCCAAUUAGACAACUAUCCACAAAAGACCAAAAUGACACAUUAACAACUAUAGGUCGCCGUACGGCAUUCAACAAUGAGCAAAGCCCAUACCGCAUAGUCACCUAUAAAAGACCCCGAUAAGACAAUGUAAAACAAUUCAAACGAGAAAAUUAACGGCCUUGUUUAUGUAAAAAAAUGAACCAAAAACAAAUAUAAUUAUGUAACACACAAACAAACGACAACC
rnacentral:lncRNA from 1 species